rnacentral:lncRNA from 1 species
ACGGCAUUCCCAGGGUCUGGAUGAGGCUGUGCCAUUGCCGUGGGACUGCCCCUCGGAAGCGGGGCAGGUUACCUGGGGAGGUGGGAGGCACUUCUUCAUCUUCGGCUUGAGAUACAGGUUUUCCAAGCCACAGUCUUUUGGGUGGGCUUCAGGCGGUGUGGGUUUUUUUGUGUUGCUUUGAAGAAGGUGGUGUGCAUUUCCAAGGGAUGCUACCGCAAUCUCUGCUCCUUUGCUGCAACGCAGGAAUCCUUUCCCCAGUUUAAAACUGCCGUUGAACUCUUUCCCCUUCUUCCAGAGAUGCAGACAGAUAGGACCCAGGCUAUUUUCUCUUUACUUCAAUGAAUUAAUUAAAAGAAAUAAUUUACCGAUUGUAUCUUGCUACUAGAUAGCAGAUCUUCCAACAAGUCCUGGCUAAUAAGACUUAAGAGUAGCAUAAUCUCACUGUAACUUCAGGGAUGUGCUAUCUAGACGUGGUAUCUUUGAUUAGAUCGCAUUAGAUUAAUCUUUUAAUUCUAUUCUUUGUGCUCUACAGGCUUUAAAUCUCGGCUUGCUUCGUCUCUCACCCUGCCCCAUGUCACCAGCAGGUCGGCCAGGCUGCAGUCCUUAGCCCAGCUGAGUGACUUCGCUGGGCAUGGUUUUGUUUCCCUUCCCCGUGUAGGGCUGGUACUGGGGACUGGCUCGUGUUCGAAUGUCAGACGAGGAGCUCUAAGUUAUUGCAACUGAAUAAUCGCAGAAGAACGUAAAUAUGUCAAAGCAGUGUCAAGAGAUUUCUUUGCAGGGAUACCCUUAUCUGAGUAGGCGUGUUUUUGACUGCCUGACUGAGUAUAGUCUCUCUCUUGCUGGAGACCAAACUCUCCUUGUCCUAUUUGGAGGCAAGUGCUGCCAUGGCCAGUGGCAAUGCAUACUUCACCUGUGCUCCCCUGUGGCUUUGCCCUGACCCCAUCCAGAAGAUAACAGGGCUGGGGUGAGUAGUUUGACUUUCUGAGGCAUUCAUCUCUCACCUCCCUGCUGAGCCUGGCGUGAAGGGUGACAAGGCUGCAAGCCUUUGUGGACAACUGGAGUGGAUUAGUGACCAAAGACUGCCCAGCAGGUGUCAUAUCCAGUGUUAUCCAUUUCCAAUUAACC